UCUUGUCAAGUUUUUCAGAUAAUCUCGCAUCGUGUGGUUCAGAUCUAUUACGGAGAUACGGGUAGUUUUUCGAUUUAUUUUAUUUAUUUUUCUCGUGAAAAAAGUUCAAUGUGGAGCCGAAAGGCACAGAGAAAACUAGAGCAGAUUCAGCAUUACAAGUAUUUUUUUAAGAGAUUGUAUCUCCAGCUCAGCACGAGUUCGGAUCCUGAGUAUUACCACGGGCCACCGGUAGAAAUUGAGAGUACUAUAUUUCAAGGGAAAGCUUCACGAGAUAUUGAUCAACAAUCAGCACUACCAAUCAGCACUAAUAGAGAACACUUAGUAUUCCGGGAAAACAACGGGUUCCCACAAUGCAGGUGAAAUGAUGGUCGUCAAGACCAGCCCAGUUAGUGGACAAUUUGAUAAGAUCAUCUCUAAAGCUUAUUUAUUAGAAGUGCCAGAAAGCCACAAAUGCAUCAUGAUAAUUACAUAUGACUUCAACGUCAGAAACUCCGGUUCACAACAUACGGUAGAUAUGGAUCGUGUGUGUAGUCCAGUCUGGACAGUUCCCUUUUAUCUACAAUGCAAACUGGCCUGGACAACGUCAGAUAAAAGGCGAUCGCGUCGACUCCUACUUCAGUUUGCGAAACUUGUGCCAAAAUUACCUAAAUACGCGUUACACUCGCACGGAACACCAAGUUAUCGGUGACGGCGCAGUUUGUGCUUCUGCCACCCUCUCUGCCACCAAUCAAGCUGUAAGUUUUGCUGUUCAUUUUCAAGACUAUUAAAUUUUAAAGGACUACGUCGAGUUGCAUGUCGCUCUUUGAGCUCCUUUCUCCGAUCGAACAUCUUUCUAAUGUAUGUACAUAUAGCGUUUUCUCGGGAUAAUAA